AACGCAGACAUGGCCGAGCCGGGUCAAAGUGUAGUAUCUGUUCUUAUCAGAUUAAUAUCUGAUACAGUUCGUUUUUGGACCCAAGAUAUUAAACCUAUUUUUGCAAGUUGGCGGAGUGCUUAAAGCCUGCUUCACCUCUGCCAUGGGUCGGCCCGGCAUUUCACUAUCUUCGGCAUCGGCCCACGGAUU